rnacentral:rRNA from 1 species
CCUACGGGAGGCAGCAGUGAGGAAUAUUGGUCAAUGGCCGGAAGCCUGAACCAGCCAAGUCGCGUGAGGGACUAAGGUGCCACGGAUUGUAAACCUCUUUUGUCAGGGAGCAAGGCCGGGUACGUGUCGCCGCACGGAGAGUACCCGGAGAAAAAGCAUCGCCUAACUCCGUGCCAGCAGCCGCGGUAAUACGGAGGAUGCGAGCGUUAUCCGGAUUUAUUGGGUUUAAAGGGUGCGUAGGCGGGAUGCUAAGUCAGCGGUAAAAUCGCGGGGCUCAACCUCGCUCCGCCGUUGAAACUGGCGUUCUUGAGUGGGCGAGAAGUAUGCGGAAUGCGUGGUGUAGCGGUGAAAUGCAUAGAUAUCACGCAGAACCCCGAUUGCGAAGGCAGCAUACCGGCGCCCAACUGACGCUGAAGCACGAAAGUGCGGGUAUCGAACAGGAUUAGAUACCCGAGUAGUC